GCGGGUGUGGCGGAACUGGCAGACGCGCUAGAUUCAGGUUCUAGUGGGAGUUAAUCCCGUGGAGGUUCGAAUCCUCUCACCCGCACUA
rnacentral:tRNA from 2 species